GAGGGUAUAGCUCUGUGGUCAAGCACGUGCUUAGCAUGCACGAGGUCCUGGAUUCAAUCCCCAGUACCGCCA
rnacentral:tRNA from 1 species